rnacentral:rRNA from 1 species
UGGGGAAUUUUGGACAAUGGGCGCAAGCCUGAUCCAGCCAUGCCGCGUGAGUGAAGAAGGCCUGGGUUGUAAGCUCUUUCGGCCGGGAAGAAAUCGUGGUCUCUAACAUAGGCCAUGGAUGACGGUACCGGACUAAGAAGCACCGGCUAACUACGUGCC